rnacentral:lncRNA from 1 species
GUGGAACUCACUGCUUCCUAGAUGCGUGAACUUAGGCAAGUGAUUUGACUGUCUUGAGCCUCAGUUUCCUCAUCUAUGUAAUGGGGACAGUAAUACUGACCUCGAAUGGUUGUUAUAUGAGCAAAUGAGGCAAUAUUUACAAAAUUCCUGACUGAGCCCCCCCCCCCCGAUAGGGCUCAGUAAAUGGUGAUGAGCAUCAUGGGGUGAAAGCUGACCUGUGCUGGGUGCCCUGGGCUCUGGGGAACUUUUCCAAACAAAGCUUAGUCAACAGUGACUUCCCUUAUUACCUGUUAACCAGUUUCGUGUGAAGUUGGGGCGGAGGGUGCCGUGAAUCUCUUCCAUGGAGCUGUGACCAGGGAUGUUGCACAGGAUGGUGGAUGGUCGAGACUCCUCUUCCUGGCCGUGAAGGCUCUGGAGGGGUCGAGAGGAAAGCAAGAAGGAAGAAGCUCCCCCUACUCCUAAUUGCUCCGCCCAUCCCCACACACCAAGAAAAACAAAUAUAACUUUCGUUGUGUCACUAAAGUUCAGUGAUUACCUAUGUCAUCCACAUCUCCUUAUGUCUGCUGAGAGAGGCAGGCGCUAACAUUUACUAAACAUCCUCAGUUGUCAAGAACUCGGCAGGAUUUCUUUCAUCUUAAAUCUCACAUAACCCUCUGAGGUGGGUAUUGUUCUCCCAUUCCACAGAUAAAGAAACUGAGGUUCAGAGACAUUAAAGUAACUUACCCUGAUCACACAGUUAGUAAAUGGCUGAGAUAAGAUAGAAACCGGCCUGACUCCUACCCAAUCCGUUAUCCCCAAAUCUCCUCUCUGUCUAUGUAUAUUAAAAAGAAAACAAAAUGCUGACUGAACGUCUCUGAGCUCCUUGUGACGUGUGAAAGCCAGCCGGAGCGCAGCAUGUCCUAUAGAGCAGAGAAGUUAGCUGUGCCCGCUCAGCUGCUGUGAUGGAUGGAGAUAGACCCCACCGUUCACCACACAGCCUUUCCCAGCCUAAAAGAGGAGCAGGAAAAACAGAGACAAAAGCAAAGCCUCGGGCACCCUUUUCCGUGAGGCUGGAACCCGCCGGCAGUGAACCUUUUGGACACCAGGUGGCGCCCGAGGAAGGCCAAAUAGGGAGUUUGAGGAUGGGCUCAUUUCGGAGGGGAAACAGUGUCCACAAACCGUCAGAGUGGGAUAGGAGAGGUGUCCCGGCUCUGGUGGGUGGCAUUUUGGGCUGCGGGCUGCUGGGAAGGAGAGAGCUCCCUUCUACCCAUGGAGUGCCAGCAAGGACAGGCCCCUCGCCACCGAAGCUGUCAACAUGUGUUCUUCUCCAUCUUUAUGCUGUGGAGUCCAGAGCCAAGAUCUUCUAG